UNGCUUCUGAAGGGCCAGCGGUCCGUGUCU
rnacentral:piRNA from 1 species